AUGUGAGGGUUUUGAACGAAUGUCGAGGGUUUCUAUCUUAAUGUUUUGGUUCUUGUUUCACUUUUCUGAGUUCCAGUGGAAACUAAUUGUUUCUUGUUCCAAUGAUGGUUUUCCUUGAUACUUUGAGGGUUUUAGCUUCUGGGUUUUGUGUGCUUCUUUGUUAGUUUCCUCAGUUUCUUAGAUCAUAUUAUGAUUGUAUUUCUUGUUUUAGUUUCAAAAAUGCUAAAAGUUAUGGAAGUGAUGCUAGAUUGGUAACUCAAUUGAGGGGAUGAUGAAGAAAGAGAGGAUCUUGGUCAGUAACCUAAAGGCUCCAUUCUGGUUUCAUGUUUCUGAGUUCAAGUGGAAAUUAAUUGUUUCUAGUUACCAACCUUGCAUCACUUUCAUAAGUUUUAGCAUUUUUGAAACUAAAACAAGAAAUGCAAUGAUAAUACGGCCCAAGAAACUAACAAAGAAGCAAAAAUAACUAAGAAGGUAAAACCCUCCAAGAAUCGAGGAAAACCAUAAUUGGAACAAGAAACAAUUAAUUUCCAUUGGAACUCAGAAAAGUGAAACAAGAACCAAACCGUUAGGAUAAAAACCCUCCCAUGAUAAGGAUCACAAAAAAAGGAAGAACGAGAAGAGAGAAGGGAAAAAGAGAGGAGAUAUAACAUACCGAGAACAUCGAGAUACUUUGGUCGGUGAAGGAUUCGUAGUAAAUAUGGAUCUUGGAUUUCUAAUGGCAUACCUUCCAUCUGUAGUUCAGCGAGGGGCCUUCUUUGCUUCAUCUGCUCCCUCUCGUAUCGUCUGCAAUGAAGGGGGAAACAAAGUGAGUGAAAGGUGCGAGCCUUAUUUUAUAGGAGAAGAGAUGGCGGUGGGUCCCCUCUUGAGCCGUGUGGUGCCAAUUGCCAGUGCGUCGCCCGAAACAAGAGUAGAAAAAAAGGUCCAAGCCCUACUUAUAGGAGCGGAGAUGGCAAUGGCUCCCUUACUGAUCCAUGUAGCGCCAGCCGUCAUUGGAUUGCACGCAUAUAAUGGUAUUUUUUCUGAUGAGAUGCGUGACCUUCAUUUUAGCUGAUCUAGGUGAUCCCAUCCAUUCAUUUCUUCAUGACUCACUGCUGGUGUGAACAGAAUCCGAGAUCUCUAAGAUAGUGUUUGGUGAUCCAAAUGAGAUCACCACAGUGAUUUAAAAUUACUGAUGAUUUGAAUUCUGUUGUGAUCUGAUCACGAGUAAUCUAAAAUCACUGUAUUUAGUGGACCACA
rnacentral:lncRNA from 1 species